UACAGAGGGGGCAAGCGUUGUUCGGAAUUACUGGGCGUAAAGGGCGUGUAGGCGGCCGCCUAAGUCAGAUGUGAAAUCCCUCGGCUCAACCGGGGAACUGCGUCUGAUACUGGGUGGCUUGAAUCCGGGAGAGGGAUGCGGAAUUCCAGGUGUAGCGGUGAAAUGCGUAGAUAUCUGGAGGAACACCGGUGGCGAAGGCGGCGUUCUGGACUGCAACUGACACUGAGGAGCGAAAGCCAGGGGAGCAAACGGG
rnacentral:rRNA from 1 species